GACGAACGCUGGCGGCGUGCUUAACACAUGCAAGUCGAACGGAAAGGCCCUGCUGUUGUGGGGUGCUCGAGUGGCGAACGGGUGAGUAACACGUGAGUAACCUGCCCUUGACUUUGGGAUAACUUCAGGAAACUGGGGCUAAUACCGGAUAGGAGCUCCUGCGGCAUGGUGGGGGUUGGAAAGUUUAGGCGGGUGGGGAUGGGCUCGCGGCUUAUCAGCUGGUGGGUGGGGUAGUGGCUUCCCAAGGCUUUGACCGGUAGGCGGCAUGGGAGGGUGAACAGGCACCAGAGGACUGAGGGACGCACCAGAGUGCUACUGGGGGCAGCAGUGGGGAGUAUUGUACAACGAUCGGGAGUGUGAUACAGCAGCGCCGCGGUCGGGAUGUCGUCUUUCGCGGUGUAAACCGCUUUCGCCUGUGACGAAGCGGGAAUGACGGUAACGUGUGAAGAAGCACCGGCUAACUACGUG
rnacentral:rRNA from 1 species